rnacentral:rRNA from 1 species
UACGGGGGGGGUAAGCGUUGUUCGGAAUUACUGGGCGUAAAGGGCUCGUAGGCGGCCAACUAAGUCAGACGUGAAAUCCCCAGGCUCAACCUGGGAACUGCGUCUGAUACUGGAUGGCUUGAAUCCGGGAGAGGGAUGCAGAAUUCCAGGUGUAGCGGUGAAAUGCGUAGAUAUCUGGAGGAAUACCGGUGGCGAAGGCGGCAUCCUGGACCGGCAUUGACGCUGAGGCGCGAAAGCGUGGGGAGCGAACAGG